GACGAACGCUGGCGGCGUGCUUAACACAUGCAAGUCGAACGGAAAGGCCCUGCUUUUGUCGGGUGCUCGAGUGGCGAACGGGUGAGUAACACGUGAGUAACCUGCCCUUGACUUUGGGAUAACUUCAGGAAACUGGGGCUAAUACCGGAUAGGAGCUCCUGCUGCAUGGUGGGGGUUGGAAAGUUUCGGCGGUUGGGGAUGGACUCGCGGCUUAUCAGCUUGUUGGUGGGGUAGUGGCUUACCAAGGCUUUGACGGGUAGCCGGCCUGAGAGGGUGACCGGCCACAUGGGGCCUGCGAUACGGCCCAGACUCCUACGGGACGCAGCAGUCGGGAAUAUUGCACAAUGGGCGGGAGCCAGAUGCAGCAACGCCGCGUGCGGGAUGCCGGCCUUCGGGUUGUAAACCGAUUUCGCAUGUGACGAAGCGUGCGUGACGGUAAUGGGUAAAGAAGCACCGGCUAACUACGUG
rnacentral:rRNA from 1 species